CCUACGGGAGGCAGCAGUGGGGAAUAUUGCUCAAUGGGGGAAACCCUGAAGCAGCGACGCCGCGUGAGCGAUGAAGGAUUUCGGUAUGUAAAGCCCUAUCAGCAGGGGAGAAAAUGACGGUACCUGACUAAGAAGCCCCGGCUAACUACGUGCCAGCAGCCGCGGUAAUACGGAGGGGGCAAGCGUUAUCCGGAUUAACUGGGCGUAAAGGGAGCGUAGACGGCGAUGCAAGCCAGAUGUGAAAGCCCGGGGCUCAACCCCGGGACUGCAUUUGGAACUGUAUAGCUGGAGUGUCGGAGAGGCAGGCGGAAUUCCUGGUGUAGCGGUGAAAUGCGUAGAUAUUAGGAGGAACACCAGUGGCGAAGGCGGCCUGCUGGACGAUGACUGACGUUGAGGCUCGAAAGCGUGGGGAGCAAACAGGAUUAGAUACCCCUGUAGUC
rnacentral:rRNA from 1 species